GUGCCGUUUGGCUUGGCUCAUCCACCCCAAGUGAACAGAAAUCCAUGACCUCUCCUAAAAGUGUGGAUUUCUCAUUCUUUUCUAUCUCUGCUUUUAGGCACAGGACCAGGAUCCCAUGCAAAUGAGGGAAGGGGACCAGCCAGGACAAUGGCCAAGGACAUCUUGGGGUGGAUGGAGAGAUCUUCAGGCAAAGCGAUGAUGGUCCUGACUACCCUUGGAUACCGACACAUUAUUAACUGAAGAGCUCCUGGCAGCGUGGCAGCAUGGCCACCAUGGGGUUGGAAUGGAGGCUGUGCAUGCCAGGGCCAUGGUGAGGGCCGGGAUCUCCCAGUGAGGGUGUCAGCUGUGAAAAAAACAUGAAUUUUAACGUCUGGAACAUCAAGGAGAUGUUGAGCACGCCAACAGCCACUGGGCCUAAUAAGUUUUCCAUCCGGAGCAGUGCUCCUAGUGACUACUCGAGCUUGAGCGAUUCUCAGCUGCUCUUCGGCUCCCAGUUCUGCCCAGAGAAUGUGCAGUCGGCAGCAGCACCGUUGGAGCUGGGCACACAGAUGCUUGAAUGAUUUUGGAUUAAGAACUUCUACACCCAAAAUCUUUCUCGUGCAGCAUGUGGUUUCUGAUGUUACCAACCUCACUAAAAUAGUUCCUGCACUGCUAACAGAGAGCACUGGAACCGAAUUAAGACACCUGAGAGCAAAGAUUAAGAAAGAGCAGUGGUGCCAGCUCAGUAGCCCUAGGCUGUCCUUCAGUUCCAGAUCCUAUCUGCUGUCCUCUGCAUUUUACUGAGUAUCUUGUCUAUUAGCUGCAGCAGCUUUUCAUCAGACACAAAAAAAGGAAAUCCACUCUCCACAAUUAAAGAAGAAAACUUAAUGGAAGUUGCAUUUUCUUACGUUUUAAGGAAAAAGCAUUUCCAUUUUGGUCACACAGUGUCUGGAAAGUUUGUAGAAUGAAGAAGGUCUUUACAGCUUUCACAUUAAUAUUAAAUUUCUUGUUCUGAAAUGUAUAUUGAAGCAUGUGAAAAACUCAUCUACACUCUGAUGGUGUUGCUAGUUGGCAGCAAAAUUAUGUCAUCCACCAGGAAAUUCAAUAGGGUUUUCUUUAGAUUCCUGUACAGGGAGCUCCCAUUGACAUCUUUAACUUUUCAACAAUUCCAGAAACACUGGAAUUCAUUUAUAGUCUCUGUGUUGAGCAUACAGGAAGAAAAGCUGUACACCUGAUGAUCGCAACCAACUGAAAAUCCUCAAGAUGAGAGAAAAGUUUGAGUCUGGAGGAAUUCGGGCUGGGUCUCAAUUCCACAGGGAGUCAAUCUAACUAGGUGCACUAAGUGAGCCAUAAUCUCAUGAAAUGUUUAAUCUCCUCAUCCAGUCUAAUCUGUCACAUCCAAUCACUGUGAUCUCUGUCUGCAAAGCACUUGGUACGCAAAUGUUUUUUUCUAAUUAAUGUUCUGAUUAUUUUUAUACUUCAACAUUUUUCUUUCUUUUGUGCAACAGAGUGAGCCCAGUAUUUUUACCAAAUACCAGACAAAACCACUGUUAUUUGAUGAAGAUACAAAAGAAAAAGGUUCACUUAAUUUUGGUGCAGGAAGAGUGAAAAGUGUCUUGGAAAAUUUUGAAGUGAAUAGGAACAAAAUAAAGGACAAAUAUGAUCGGUAAGUAGACAUCCAUUGGAAAUUCUUUCUGUGCUGGUGGUUAUCACUCCGUGUAGCUCCUUCUUCCCCUCUUAAAAGUCAUACAUGACAUAGCUGCAUAUUUCUCCAAGAAAAGUAUCUUUUCAGGUUUUAAAUAAUCUCUGAUUGGAAAGAGUCAGAGGAUAAGAGAAUAGGGUUUAUUUGCAGUGCAAUUUAUGUAACACACUCAGCCAUA
ensembl:lncRNA